UUUGAUAGUUCAGUUGGUAGAGAAUGAGACUCUUCAUCUCUGGGUCAUGCGUUCAAGCCUCACGUUGGGCAAAA